GAUGAACGCUAGCGGCAGGCUUAAUACAUGCAAGUCGAGGGACAGCACAGGUAGCAAUACUGGGUGGUAACCGGCAAACGGGUGCGGAACACGUACACAACCUUCCUUUAAGUGGGGGAUAGCCCAGAGAAAUUUGGAUUAAUACCCCGUAAUAUAGUUUGGUGGCAUCACUGGACUAUUAUAGCUACGGCGCUUAAUGAUGGGUGUGCGGCUGAUUAGAUAGUUGGCGGGGUAACGGCCCACCAAGUCUACGAUCAGUAGCUGAUGUGAGAGCAUGAUCAGCCACACGGGCACUGAGACACGGGCCCGACUCCUACGGGAGGCAGCAGUAAGGAAUAUUUGUCAAUGGACGCAAGUCUGAACCAGCCAUGCCGCGUGAAGGAUUAAGGUCCUCUGGAUUGUAAACUUCUUUUAUUUGGGACGAAAAAGGGUCUUUCUAGAUCAACUGACGGUACCAGAUGAAUAAGCACCGGCUAACUCCGUGCCAGCCGCCGCAGUAACAC
rnacentral:rRNA from 1 species